UGCCCUGAUAGUGUAGUUGGAUAACACGUAGGAUUGCGGAUCCUAUUCCCCGGGUUCAAGUCCCGGUCAGGGCAU
rnacentral:tRNA from 1 species